GGGUCGUUAGCUCAGUUGGUAGAGCAGUUGGCUUUUAACCAAUUGGUCGUAGGUUCGAAUCCCACACGACCNC
rnacentral:tRNA from 1 species